AGGAAUUGGGAUUGUUAUUGCUACAUAACAAUCAAGGUAAUAUCUUAAACCUAAUUAUAUGUUAAUAUUGAUUUCCAUAUGCUAGAAUUAGGGUUUAUAGUCUUGGAUUCAAAGCAUGUACAAUAGAGAAACCUAGAUCCAAGCAUUAGGGUUUGUAUGAGCACAUAGGAUGUCUUAUGACCAAAACCCAUCAGUGGUAUCAGAGCCUAGCUUGGUUUCAAUUGUAUUGAUGCAUUGUAUAACUGGAAAAUUCGUUUUUUGGGUUUCUGGAGGCUGGACUCGCCGAGUCCAUGGCUGAACUCGCCGAGUCCAUGCAGACUCGACGAGUCCAAGCCUGACUCGACGAGUCAACUCGUCAGAUGGAGGGUAUUUCGGGAUUUCUUGUUGUUUUUGCUUAUGGAUAGUUACCUUAUCAUGUUAGAUCAAUAUUAAUCCGAUUAUAUGAUAUAUUUGACUAUAUUUUUGAUCUAAUUGAAGAUAUUUAUCAAUUAAUAAGAUAAUUGUUUCCUUAUGUGAUAAUUGAUUAAUUAUUUUGACUAAAUUGAUAAAUUGUUUUGCAAGAAAUCAUUAAAUAAAUCAAAUAUGGAUAAUUAUGUGAUUAAUUGUUAAUUUAGAUUAUUUGUUAUUUGAUCCUUGUUGUUAUGAAAAGUUUCAUAUUUUCCCCUUUAGGUUUUAUAGUUUAAAUUUGAACCCAAAAGUUUUGUUGUUUUGAAAUUUAAAUAGUUGAAACCCUAAUGUUUUGAAAAAGGUUUCAAAACUUGCCCUCAAGUUUUGGAAUUUAAAUUUUGAUUAAAUAGUUUAAUUUUGAUGUAUAUUUAAAUUCUAAACCCUAAUGUGUUGAAAUGUUUCAAAACUUGCCCUCAAGUUUUGGAAUUUAAAAGUUGAUUAAAAGUUUAAUUAGGAAUGUUAAAUUCUAAAACUCUAGUAUAGUUUUGAAAAAGUUCAAAUCACACCCUUAUGGUUUUAUUAAUUAAUUAAGGUGUAUAAUUAAAAGAGGUUUAAUAAAUCCAUAAAAGUUUAGGUUUACAAUUUAAUUGAAUUAAAAGUAUAAUUGUUAAAUUUGACCACCUAGUAUUUUAAAAGUGUAAAAUACACCCUAUACUAUAUAUAACAUUAAAAGUCUAACAUUAUAUAUAUGUAUGAGUAAAAGUCAGUCUUACCGUUAGUAGGCCUCAUUCACGAAGCUGGUCUAUAAGGGGUGUUUAAGGAAAUUGCCUAUAAAAUGGCGAUUGAAUGGGUAUCCACUCUUACCCACCGCACUCUUGACUAGUGGAGGGUCGUUAGCCGAACGGGUAGGAUAGGACGAAACCUUCCAUUAUAAGUAUAAUGAAGUAUAAAAGUAACUAAAUGUUUUCAUAAAAUUCCCAAUCUUAGUUACUUAGGCAAAAGUGAAUUGAUGCAAUUCCAUGAAAUUACACUUUGUGCCCUUGCGAAGACGUUAGUGGAGCGUGUGUGGUUUACCGGCACACUAAAUGGUUCUAAGCAAAGGUAGCAAAGGGUGACUCAAUGUUUGUCAUAGUUCGGUGGAGCGUGUGUGGUUUACCGGCACAUCGAAUAGGUGACUGUAACAUGUGAGGGCACCAUGUAAGUUUGCAUGGUUAUUCACACCCGCUUUGUGAUCCUCGGCAUCCCAGUCACAAACAAGAGGGGCAUAUCGAGAUUUAAACAUGCCAUUGAAAUGUUCAAUGAAUCUCAAAGGAUCUAGGAGUUUUCAUAGAUUUAAAACUUAAAUUUCUUUUUCGUUUUUCAUGGUGGAAAUUAGUGAAUCGUCAUUCACUUACCUUCAAAUGUUCUGCAAUUUGGGUUACGGCAUCCCUCUCCCGAGUUGUAGAAUAUUGUGUUGGGUCCUAGCCUUAGUAUCUCAUUUGGGUGAUUUACUAAGGACUCAAUCAAUCAACUAACUUGAAUUCGUUUUCUCCCGUUUUGUAGAUGUCAAAGUUCGACAACUAUGGUCUUCCCAAAUCCCGUGGAACAAGCAUUCCACAUGAAGAUGAUAUUCCACGAUUCGAUCGAGGAACAAGAAAUCAUGCUUCACUUCCUCCACCUCCUCCAAUUAUUCUCCCUAACCCACAAGUUCAAAGGCUUGAAAAGUUCAAGAUCACUCAAGCCCUUUUGGCAAGUAAACAUAAAGAAGGAAAGUCGGUGUGUGCACACGUCCUAGGGAUGAAGUCACACAUUGAUAGGUUAAGAAUGUUGGGAUCCUUUUUCUGUGAAGAAAUGGUUGUUGAUUGGGUUCUUCAUUCACUUUCUAACUCAUAUAGUGAGUUCGUAAGAGAGUACUAUAUGAUGAACCGCGACGUGACCCUUAUAGAUCUCACCUAUAUGCUUAUUGCUGCUGAAUCAGCAAUGGUUUGGCGCAAUAGAAAAGCAAAGUUGAUUGGUGAAUCUGCCUUCAAGACCUCUAUGGAUAUAGACAAUGGCAACGAAAGACAUGCUAUGAUCGAAAAGUUUGAUCAUAAGAGAAAGGCAAUGUCUGAAGUAGUUCCAUGUCAUGUUCCAAAAGAGUCAAUUUGCUUUUAUUGCCAAGAGAAAGGGCAUUGGAGACGAAGCUGCCCCAUUUACCUAAGAGAUCUAAGAGAUGGGAGAGUCGAAACGUAUGGCUCUAAUAUAGGUAAAAUCCAUUAACUAACUCUUUUAAGCUUCUAUUCUAGAUUCUUAAUACAUAAUGUGAUAAGAUUACAAUUGAUGUUUUGUAGGAUCGAAGAAAAGAAAGGAAGCUUAAGGGAAGAAGUGAGCAGAAUCUAACCGUGAAGGAAUGGAUUUCGAUCGCAUUUCUCGAAGAUUAGAUUCUUGAGCUACUACUUAGAGUUAGAAUUAGAUUGCUAAGAAAGAUGUAUUAGCAUAGUUUUUCAAUGAAUUGCAUUGUAAGGAAAAAUUUUUCCGCAAUAAAAUAAAUUUUGAUUUUAUAUUAUUUAUUUAUCCUUGCAAUGGCGUAUAUGAAAAAUUGAUGUUUGAAUGUUUCUAUUAUUAGCAAUAAUGGAUUUGGUUCUUAUUAUGUUAUUUAUGGAAAGUCGAGAAUUUACCAAAUAGGGAGAGUUUCUCAUCGCCCAAGUUUCAAUUGGACAGAAACUUGGAAUCAUGCAACUUGGUUGCACGAUGAAUGAGAAAUUUCAUAUUUGGAAAUUAGACUAAUUCAUUGACAAAGUGUCAAGUGAAGGACUAGGAGAUCGAGUACACAAAGUUGCGUGUUGAUCAAGUCCACCAUAAGAGUAACAAAGAUAUUCGUCAUGAUUUACUAAAGGUUUAGUAAAUAUGAUUAUACUUAUAAGAUUAAGUGUAAUUCUGAAUUGAUUGAAAAGGUUUAAAUCAAUAGCAGAACGAAUAAGAAGAAUCAAGUAGGCAGAAAGAUAAAAGUUUCUCCAUUCUAAGAAGAAGGGAGAGUACCUUUUAUGCUUUAUGAUAGGUCUUAAUGAUUAAGAACCAUAUCUCAAUUGAUCCUCUAAGUGAGUCUUAGUACAAUUGUAUGUCUAAGAAGAGGAAUCAAGAAUUGAAGAAAUGGUUAAAUCAAGAAGUCAAUCAUACUUCGUUCCAAUAACAAGUCUUAAAGUUAAGAUUGUGACAUUGAGUGAAAAGUAUUAAGAAGGUUUAUAACAUUCAUCAAAUGUGGAAAGUUGUGAUGUCUUGGAUAAGACAAAGACCAACUAGGACCAAUUUAUGAAGUGUUUUGAUAAAAGCUACACUAACUCUUGAAUAUUUGUUUGUCAAGAAAUGGUUAUUGACAAGAGAAUCUUAUAUGUCAAGGAGUCAGUGGGAGUCUUAAUGGUCUUGAAAGGUUUCAAGAACAAAUCAAAUAAACCUUAUCGAUCAUCACUAGCACACGAGUUGAGGUUUACAACCUAUCGUGUUGACAUUAUUUUGAUUCUGUGCCAAUCCAAUCGAGUUAAUUAUGCAUGUGAGUUCUAUGAGUUCUCAUUUUGAACGCAUAAAAGGCAAAGCACCUUAAUCAAUGAAAGGUACAUUGAUAGGAAAAGGUGAGCUGCUUAACUACUUGGAAGACAUGGUGGGCAGCUGUGCUACCAUAAGGCAAGAAAUCAAGAUUAAGAAAGUUCGGUCCAUAUGAGUUUGAAUUUGUCGUAAACUUUGGUUUUAACAAAUUCACAUGGAUAGGAACACAUACACCGCUCAAAUCUAAGUGUCAUAAGAUUUCCUCCUUCAUGAAAAUGAUUGUGAAGAAAUGCUUUCACUAAGAGAGAUUUUAAGAAGAUAGUGAUUGUAAAAUUGCAUUCUCAAAUUCAAUCAUGGUUACGGCAUCCCUUUCCAUAAUUUGAAUUGUGAGGUUUGGCAAUUAGUCUUAAUUGUUUAGACACACAUAUGAACUAUCGAAGGCAAAGGUGUAUAAGUUCAAGAAGCAUUGAUAAAGGAUUAUCAAAGCACUAAGUAUUAGAAACAUGAACUUAAGAAAUUCAAUAAGUAUUGUUUUCUGAAAGUUAAGAUGUUUAUGAAUACAUGUCGAAGCUAGUGGGAGCAUAAGUGUUAUGUUUUAUAAUAAUCAUCAUGAUAGUGGGAGCAUAAAUGUUAUGAUUGUAUGAUUAUUAAGGAAAGUAUUGCAAGGUUAGCAAUAUUAAUUAUAGAAAACAAGAGUCAUACUUUGCAAAGUUGUAAGAGUUGAAAGGUUGUUUUGCUAUAAUUAAGGGAGAGAAUAUUAUGCUUCAUUUCAAAUCUAAAGGAUUAGGUUGAGAAAUGUUAAUAAAUUUAGUCAAAGGUACAUAGUGUGUUCUUAAAAUUUCGAUUAUGAUUACGGCAUCCCUCUUCACAAUUCGAAUUUUGAGAACAUAGCAAAUAAAACAUUAUGCGUCGUGUCCCAUACGCUUCGGGUAUAGGAUCGAUUGCAAAUGCUUUAAUGUUUGACCAUUCUAAAAUUUUCCAAAUGUCGAGCGCAUUUAGAGGGAAAAGGGACUAGAAUUGGUUUUGACUAAAACAAUUAAACAACUAUCAAAGGACAAUCCCAAGUUCGACGAGGAUUGGUUGCUUGUGAGUAGUUGGAAGUAUAGUAUUGGAAAAUAUGGAAAUGUUUCCAUAUUGGAUGGACCAUAUCGACAAAAUUACGAAUAGAUAAGAUUCUAUUAAGAAUGAGUUAUCACAUGGAAAAUAUGGAAGUGUGUCCAUAUUGGGAAUUGAAUAUUGAAAAUCUAUGUCUAGAUUAGAAACUUUUAUGCAAAAGGAUGUUCAAAGGAAUGUACUUUGAGUGAGAGACAUCAUAUCUAAGGAAUUGUCUUGUAACAAUCUCCGAUAGAGGACUUUGUAAUAUCAUUGGCAAUAGUCUUUGUGACUUUGGUGCAGUGACAUUACGAAAGGAUCAUUGCAUAAAAUGUUAGAAUCUAGCAUAUUCUAUAAGUAGCAAGAAUUUGAUAUUCUUUCACUUAUGAAAAAGGAUUUGGAGUUGUGAAAUGAGAAUGAUUGGAAAUGUGUUCAAUUUGAUCUAUUUCACAAAGUAAGAACCAUAGGUAAACAUUGUGUGCAUGCUAGGAGCAUGGGACAAGUGUAAUAAUUCAAGUAAGAAGUUGAUUACCCGAAACGACAAAUAAUGAGUAAUCGAUAUGGUGAUAAAUAAAAGGUGUUUUAUUUAUACUCAAAGGUUUGAGGCCAUAUGGGAUUAGUAUUAUUCUUGUGUUUCACAUUUGCAUGUUUUGACUUCCUGAAUAAUUUAAUUGGUUAAGAACAGUCAAAUUAUUCAAACGGGCCACAGUCGUUCAUAUGUUGGAAGUAGGUAUGAAUGAAGACUGUCGUGAAUUGGUGUGUGGAUUGUCUAAAGAGUAUUAGACAUAAGCAAAUGUUUGCUGCAACGUUCAUGAGUGCUUAUGAAUAUGAUUUGAGCAUUGGAUUAAACCCACGCUCACUUGGAUCACUCCAUGAAUUGUAUCACGAGUGAUUGGUGAGACGAUAACAUCUUAUAUUCUUGAAACCGAGAUGUGUGAGUUGUAUCUUGCAAAUCGGUUGCACAUUGAUAAUAUGUAAACGCACUAGUAACUUGGUGUUAUAAAACAUAUUGUUGUGUGUGAUUCGGUGAGUGAGUGCAAGCAAGCAUUGUAUCAAAGUUUAUCCGUUCCUUUUAUCCAAAGUAGGAUAAAAGCGAUAUCUUUGGGCCCCUCGAUGAUUUAGUGAUGACAAACGUAAAUGCUCGGCCGGGCUAGGGCUAAUUUGAUUUGUUCAAUUAGUCAGUCGUCAUAAAUCGGGAAUCGAGAUAUAGUACAAAGAGAAUGAUUUGAAAUCAUAUCUCAUAUGAUAUCUAGAAUGGAGGAAUAUAUGAUCCCUUAUCUAAGGACACGCGUAUCUGAUAGGAUCAGAGUUGACAGCGGCUUUGGAAAGCUACGAUUGCAGAUCAGGAUCUGAAGUCAUACGCAGAAUAGUUAUUAGACUUAUCCAAGUGGGAGACUGUUGGAUUAGUGUCUAAGUCCAUAACUAUUUUGGUAUGUACUUGACCCGAUGGUGCAUGGUCCUUUUGGGUUGCCUUCACCAAAGCAACUUGAUAGGAUGAAUUAUGGAGAGAAAGGAUUAAAUAUGAUUUAUUAAUAUAUUAUGAGAAUAAUAUAUUAAAGGAGAAAUCAUAUUGUUUAAUUAAUAUUAGUCAAUAAUUAAUUGGUAAUUAGUUUUGUGACUAAAAGAGAUUAAUUAAACUUAAGGGACUGGAAUUGUAAUUAUAAGAUAAUUGCAAUUUGGGCCAUGGAUUGCCUUUUAUUAUAAGGUGGACGAAUUCUAUGGGGGAAGCCCAUAUGAAGUCGUCCAAGGCUUUAAGAAAGGGCUCCAUGGGUUGCUUAGGGCUUAAGCAACCAAAUUAGGGUUUCCUUGUUAGAUAACCCUAAUAGCCUCACUAUAUAUAGAACCCUUAAGGCUCAAAAACGUGGGGAACUUCUUUUCUAGGGUUAGAACACGUUUUGGGCAGCCUCCAUCUUCUCUCCUCUUCAUCCUCUUGCUUAUGGUGUUUGUAAACCAUUAGAGGAGUGACACUUGUGACUCUAAGCCUUCCAAAGUCAAUUCAAGGAGGAAUUGGGAUUGUUAUUGCUACAUAACAAUCAAGGUAAUAUCAUAAACCUAAUUAUAUGUUAAUAUUGAUUUCCAUAUGCUAGAAUUAGGGUUUAUAGUCUUGGAUUCAAAGCAUGUACAAUAGAGAAACCUAGAUCCAAACAUUAGGGUUUGUAUGAGCACAUAGGAUGUCUUAUGACCAAAACCCAUCAAAUAUAUCAUAACUCAUAAGCAACAACUCACAAUUCUGAUCACCAAACCUUGCGAUCGAAAUCCAUCUUCGC
rnacentral:lncRNA from 1 species